CCAGUGUGCAUACAGACUCAGAGCCAUGUUUCACAAAUAUACAGAACUCAGGAAGAAGCAGAGCAGCUCAAGAGGGAGUGUCUAAGGUCUGAGAGUCUGCCUUGCUGUUAGGAUCCCAGGACCACCUUGAACCUGAGAGCCGGCACCACGUGAAGCGGCGCCGUGAACAAAGCCGUCUGUAAGCAUGGAGCAGCAAAUUGUGAUGCCCGGGUCUAGACUCCAGCAUUGCAGUGAAAGAGUGCAGCCAUUCAGGAACCAGUGAAUGGCUGUGGCAUGCUGUUCAAUAAUUUUCAGAAUGUGUGUCAAAUUUUAGCAAGAUUAUCAUCCUCCUGCCCCCGCUCCCCCCUUAACAUCUGGAUUCGAAUAAAUACAUCUUUUAGAAAUA